GGCUCAGAUGAAACGCGGGCGGCAUGCCUUACACAUGCAAGUCGAACGGUAACGGGCCUUCGGGUGCCGACGAGUGGCGAACGGGUGAGUAAAGUAUCGGAACGUACCAUUGAGUGGGGGAUAACGUAGCGAAAGUUACGCUAAUACCGCAUAUUCUCUCCGGAGGAAAGCAGGGGAUCGCAAGACCUUGUGCUCUUUGAGCGGCCGAUAUCAGAUUAGCUAGUUGGUGGGGUAAAAGCUCACCAAGGCGACGAUCUGUAGCGGGUCUGAGAGGAUGAUCCGCCACACUGGAACUGAGACACGGUCCAGACUCCUACGGGAGGCAGCAGUGGGGAAUUUUGGACAAUGGGGGCAACCCUGAUCCAGCCAUGCCGCGUGAGUGAAGAAGGCCUUCGGGUUGUAAAGCUCUUUCAGCCGGGAAGAAAACGCACUCUCUAAUACAGGGUGUGGAUGACGGUACCGGAAUAAGAAGCACCGGCUAACUACGUGCCAGCAGCCGCGGUAAUACGUAGGGUGCGAGCGUUAAUCGGAAUUACUGGGCGUAAAGCGUGCGCAGGCGGCUUGUUAAGACAGGCGUGAAAUCCCCGGGCUCAACCUGGGAACUGCGCUUGUGACUGGCAGGCUAGAGUAUGGCAGAGGGGGGUGGAAUUCCACGUGUAGCAGUGAAAUGCGUAGAGAUGUGGAGGAACACCGAUGGCGAAGGCAGCCCCCUGGGCCAAUACUGACGCUCAUGCACGAAAGCGUGGGGAGCAAACAGGAUUAGAUACCCUGGUAGUCCACGCCCUAAACGAUGUCAACUAGGUGUUGGGUGGGUAAAACCAUUUAGUACCGGAGCUAACGCGUGAAGUUGACCGCCUGGGGAGUACGGCCGCA
rnacentral:rRNA from 1 species